UACGUAGGGUCCGAGCGUUGUCCGGAGUUACUGGGCGUAAAGCGUGCGCAGGCGGUUGUGCAAGACAGAUGUGAAAUCCCCGGGCUCAACCUGGGAACUGCAUUUGUGACUGCACGGCUGGAGUGCGGCAGAGGGGGAUGGAAUUCCGCGUGUAGCAGUGAAAUGCGUAGAUAUGCGGAGGAACACCGAUGGCGAAGGCAAUCCCCUGGGCCUGCACUGACGCUCAUGCACGAAAGCGUGGGGAGCAAACAGG
rnacentral:rRNA from 1 species